rnacentral:tRNA from 1 species
GCGGGUAUAGUACAAUGGUAGUACGUCAGUUUUCCAAACUGAAUACAGGGGUCCGAUUCCCCUUACCCGCU